UCUUAGUGGAAGUGACGUGCUGUG
rnacentral:ncRNA from 2 species